rnacentral:rRNA from 1 species
UACGUAGGGUGCAAGCGUUGUCCGGAAUUAUUGGGCGUAAAGAGCUUGUAGGCGGUUUGUCGCGUCUGCUGUGAAAUUUCGGGGCUCAACCCCGAACUUGCAGUGGGUACGGGCAGACUAGAGUGUGGUAGGGGAGACUGGAAUUCCUGGUGUAGCGGUGAAAUGCGCAGAUAUCUGGAGGAACACCGGUGGCGAAGGCGGCGUUCUGGACUGCAACUGACACUGAUGAACGAAAGCCAGGGGAGCAAACGGG